rnacentral:rRNA from 1 species
UACGUAGGUGGCAAGCGAUACUCGGAAUCACUGGGCGUAAAGCGCAGGUAGGCGGUUCAGUAAGUCUUUUGUGAAAGCUCCCGGCUCAACUGGGAGAGGCCAAGGGAAACUACUGGACUAGAGUGUGGUAGGGGAUACUGGAAUUCCUGGUGUAGCGGUGAAAUGCGUAGAUAUCAGGAGGAAUACCUAUGGCGAAAGCAGGUAUCUGGGCCAUCACUGACGCUGAGCUGCGAAAGCUAGGGGAGCAAACAGG